rnacentral:tRNA from 1 species
GGAGAGAUGGCUGAGUGGUCGAAGGCGCGCGACUGGAAAUCGCGUGUACCCUCAAAAAAGGGUACCGAGGGUUCAAAUCCCUCUCUCUCCGCCA